UUUCCCCUUUUGUCAACUUGACAGCUUCCUCACGAUGGUGUAACCUGGUCCAUAUUGACGUUCGCGAGAAAAAGAGACCACCUCUUUUGUCAUCGCUUCUUUCCGUUGCGCCUUCCCUUUCGCAGGCUCGCUUCAGGCCGCAAACUUAUUCGCAAACAGUGAGCAGUGUUUACCGGUAGAAGAGAACGCACGCCUGAAAGUGAGAUUGGCUUUAGCGGUAGCGUAGUAGAGGGGAUAUAUAACCUUUUCGCGUAGAAGAAGAAGAAGCACAUAUUGGAUGAAUCUGUUGUGCUGUUAUCUAAAAUUUUGUUAAAUGGCAUUUUUAGUUCGAAGCAGCAUCUGUUCGGUACGGUUUAGUCGCAACUACGCAUCAAUGUCGAAGAAAGGUCUGGUUUUGGGUGUUUACUCAAUCGGACGGCAAGGAU